CUUGUCGCUGCCGGUUUGCAAACACCGACCCAAUUUACCACAGUUUAACAUAUGUGCAUUCAUCAGUGAAGUUGUCCUGGCUAAAACACCUGGCACCAGCUUCUACCUGGGCAUCAACUGUCAUUCCGUUGACUCCCCUAGACCCCAGUACAGUGCCCUCUGCCAGCAGGAAGCAGUUAAAGAGAGAAAUCUUUGCCCCUUUUCAUAAUAAUAAUCAUAAGACGGGAUAUGAAAGGGUUUUGGCCCAGACAGGACACUGUAGCCAGUAAAGCCAAGGAGCUCUAUCUCCCCCACCCCUAGGAAUCUACCUCUGGUGCCAAACUAGUGCCAAUGGGCUACCUGUGCAUCCCUAAUGCCCCCUCAGGCACCACCACAGAGAGAUCGCCGACCCCGGGGCUGGGGGGGGGUCUCUC
rnacentral:lncRNA from 1 species